rnacentral:rRNA from 1 species
CCUACGGGAGGCAGCAGUGGGGAAUAUUGCACAAUGGGGGAAACCCUGAUGCAGCGACGCCGCGUGAGUGAAGAAGUAUUUCGGUAUGUAAAGCUCUUUCCGCAGGGAAGAAGCAAGACGGUACCUGACUAAGAUGCCCCGGCUAACUACGUGCCAGAAGCCGCGGUAAUACGGGUGAUGCGAGCGUUAUCCGGAUGUAUUGGGUUUAAAGGGUUCGUGGGCGGGCAUUUAAGCAGGCGGUCAAAUGUCGGGGCUCAACCCCGGCCUGACGUCGGAACUGUGUGCCUUGAGUGGUCGAGAGGUAUGCGGAAUGCGUGGUGUAGCGGUGAAAUGCAUAGAUAUCACGCAGAACCCCGAUUGCGAAGGCAGCAUGCCGGCGCCCUACUGACGCUGAGGCGCGAAAGUGCGGGUAUCGAACAGGAUUAGAUACCCUGGUAGUC